AUUUGUGGCUUUACCAUGUAGCAGCGACGGGCCAAAUUUGUGGCUUUACCGUGUAGCAGCGACGGGCCAAAUUUGUGGCUUUACCGUGUAGCAGCGACGGGCCAAAUUUGUGCCAUGAUAUAAACCCCCCAAAAUAGAUGAUGCAUAAACUGAUCACAAAUGCUUCAAUAUAUAUUAUGAAAUGGUUUGUGUGAGUGAUGACUUUUUCUCAUUUUUUUCGCUUAGAGGGACCAUUAAGAAACAUGAUCCCUGCUGCUACUGGGUUAAGGCAACAGUAGGUACAUCAAUCAGACAAGCAGCAUCUCCCUCUCUCUCUAGACCCUUUGAAUGACGACCAAGAAGACAACGCCACAAACAACAGCCUCUCCAAAUGAACGAUUCUGAUAUGCUCUUUUUCGGAAGCUCUCAUUGUGUCCACGAGUAUUUGCGGGAGCAGUGACGAUGGACUUUUUUUUUCUUUCUUUCUUUUUUAUGGUGAGCUGCAUUCUUUACGAUAAAAAAAUAAAUAAAUAAUAAAAUAAUCCUGUGUUCACUACUAUUUCCAUGACAAUCACCAAUGGACUUUCUUUUCUUUCUUUUCCUUUCUCUUUUUUUUUUGCCGAUGAGCUAAUCCUUUACGAUAAAAAAUAACAAUAAUAAUGAAAAAACGUAUCCUUGGUCAAUACAUCAUCACCAUCACCAUCAUCAUCAUCACCAUCGCCAUCACCAGACCCAGACAGAGGGACACACAAGCUUCUUCUUCUUUUCCCCUUCUACACCACACUACCCCAAGACCCUAAAGACCACCCAACCACCCCCUGGAAUGUUGCGGAGACAAACCGAGACCGCGGAGACAAGCCAAGACCAAGACCGUGCCCUCCACCGCUCACCCUCUACACAGACAGACAGACAGACAGACCGAGGGACAGACUAAACAGCCACUGACAGCACUUCAUACCCCUGAAAGCUGUGUGUGUGUGUUAGUGUGUGUGUAUUGAGUGUGUGUUUUCCUAAUAAGCUCAGCCCAAAACUUUCUAUCUAUGGCUGUCGAACUUUAGCUGUCUACGUAACUAGGUAUGUAUGAGUCCAGUUCUCUCGCACUCUCAUUCUCAUUCUCUCUCUCUCUCUCUCUCUCUCACUAUAAGGCACUCGAUAAAUAUUUCUCCACCUCCACCACCACCACCUCCUCCACUCUCUGCCUAACUAACCACCUCUAUCCACUAGUUAUGCCACUAUAACUCCACCUAAACCACCAAACACCCUUACUAAAACAGCUCCACAUUGGUAGUAAGAACGUAAGGAGUCUGCAAGAGGCCGGUAGGUGAAUGGAUGAAAUCUCGGAAGUGAAUACGUCGAUGAGUGAGUGAGUGAUACAAGCAUAUGAGUGAACGCAUAAGUGAAUGUCCCCCCACUCUCCCUACUCCUGCGACGGGUGAAGUAAGUAUUAAGUAGUAAGUGUGUAAGUACGUUCCCAAGAUUCGUGUGGCCCAGGAAGAGUUCAUAUAAGUAGGAGUUAUGAAUGGGUUACGAGCUGCCUCCGAGGAAAUGAACUUAACGUGAAGUGAAAUAAUUGUCCGAUUAAAAAACAAAGCAGAGGAUUCAAAGAGUUUACACGAGGGAGUAAUGAAUGGGUCACAAGCUGCCUCCAAGAAACCAAACGAAAUAUCAAGAGAAUUAACUGUGGAAAAAAAAAGGGGCGUACCAAAAUAUUCAAGAUAAGGAAAAAUAGAAUAAGUUACACAAGGAAGCAACGAAUGGGUCACACAAGCUGCCUCAAAAAGAACCGUACGAUACAUGAAGAGAAUUUUAAUUAUGCGAUAAAAAAAAAAAAAAUAAAUAAAUAAAAAAAUAUAAAAAAUACAGGAAAAAGAUAAAUACCAGAUGAUUCAGGAUAAAGAAAAUAGGGAAAACAUACAAUAAACUAGACAGCGUUUCUUCCUCUGCCAACCACCAACGCCAAAAUAACGAUAAUAAUAAUAAUGAUAAUAAUAGUAAUAAUUGCCAGUGUCGUAUCGGAGAAAUAAGUUAUCCUUCAAUAAGUUAAACGGCAGCAGCUGCAAUUAACGGCAUCAACAGACCACAAAGCGUCGUCCUAAGCCGUGCAAAUCCCUCGAGACAGAGAAAUAUCGACACAAAAAACUGUAACAUAUCUCGACAAAUAUCUGCAACACUUAUCAAAAAUCUGUGACACUUGACAAAACUCUGCAGCAUCUGACAAAACUCUGCAGCAAUUCUCAACAAAAAUCUGCAGCACUUAUCAACAGAAAACUCCACAAUGCUACACAUGAACAGUUAUUUAAGUAGUGCCGUGAGAGGGGAAAGGAAGGUCCGUCAUUCGUUAUUUCAGCAUGUUAUCCCUGCACAAAAACAAAUGCAGGAAUGUCGAUAUAUCAAAAUUUUCACACACACACACACACACGGAAAAAGGGGAGCUUAAGACUGUCUAAUUAACUUUUCCAUCAUCUUUUCAUCUUUUCCCAUUCAGUCUCCAGCCCAAUGACCACUUAUACUUCUUUGAAUCGUCAGUUUCCUUGAGCAAUGAGUAAGCUUAAAAUGUCCCUCAUAUUGCCAGUCUAGUUCCAGCCAAGGUACUACUAAUAACAGGCUUUAUAUAUUGACUUUCAUCAUUUUAACUCAACUUUUCAUAUUGGCUCCCAUCAUCUUAACUGUCAAAUGAAACGUCUGUCAGGAGCAAAUCGUAGGAGCAACGUGUGGUAAGCAACUGUGUGGGUUCUGUAUAAGUUCGGGUUGUCUGCACUUUGAACCAUUACAAGUGUGUUGAAUGAGGUCGUAAUCACUCUCCUGCCUUCUGUCUUGUGUUUGGGAGGUCUGCCCCUGCCUCUGUUCACCUGCGAGCCAAGACAAUCAGGAAGUCUAAUGAGUCCCCACACUGAACUAUUACAAGCAUGCCAAGUGAGGUCAUUUUUCCUUUGCUUUCUGCCGUGUUUGGGAGGUCUGCCCCUGCCUCUGUUCACCUGCGAGCCAAGACAAUCAGGAAGUCUAAUUAGUCCACACACUGAACUAUUACAAGCAUGCCAAGUGAGGUCAUUUUUCCUUUGCCUUCUGCCGUGUUUGGGAGGUCUGCCCCUGCCUCUGUUCACCUGCGAGCCAAGACAAUCAGGAAGUCUAAUGAGUCCCCACACUGAAAAGGGGAACUCAAGACUGUCUAAUUAUCUUUUCCAUCAUCUUUUCAUCUUUUCCCAUUCAGUCUCCAGUCCAAUGACCACUUAUACAUCCUUGAAUUGCCAGUUUCCUUGAGCACUGAGUAAGCUUAAAAUGUCACUCAUAUUGCCAGUCCAGUUCCAGCCAAUACCAAUAACAGGCUUUUUAUAUUGACUUUCAUGUCGAGUGAGGUCAUAAUUCCUUUGCCUUCUGCCGUGUUUGGUGAGUCUGCCCCUGCCUCUGUCUGUCAGGGAGUCCAGGCACUGACCACCUCGCUUGGGUCUUCUUGUCCUCACUGCCACCCUUACACUGCACAGGUUUAUGGGAUUCUUCUUCAUGCUGCAUUUCAGUUCAGACACACCACCUCUUAUGGGCCACCUAGUCUCCACUUCCACUUUUCCAAUGCACAGGUCCAUGGGAGUAUUUUUUAAUUGUAUUCCAGAUCCUUACAAACCAGGUUACAUGAAUGAGUCUUUGUUUGACCCGUGUGUUUGUGUAAGUCCAUGUCAGGCUGAAUGUACACUCACGCAAGGGUAGCCACUCACAGCACUCCUUCAGUUCCAGGCACCUUCUUUCCUUCACCUGGGUUGACGAACACUCGCCAUGCUAACCUGAGAUAAAUGGAUCAUCUUUUGGGUCCUACUAACCAUAUCAUCACUUGUUUUUUUCCCAGUCAUUUUCCUUUUUCCAAGUUUUUCAACCACUAGUCUCCCUCUUUACCAGAAAUACUUAAGCUGUUGUGACCGAAUCAAUGUCAUACAGGAGGAGAGAAGGAAUUAGCCCUUCAGUAAUACGACUGCUUUCUCUCCUUCCCAAAGCUAAAGGAAAGGGAAGGUGUGGGACGAGGGUGAAGAAAAUUAGGAUGAGUGUGUGUGUAAGCCCUCUUGUAGACUGCCCUCUCUUGCCUUACUCCCCUCAAGAAAAGCCAGUCAACCUUUCCUCAAACUAACACCACAACACACUGCCUGAGCUUGCCUUAACUCCCUGCUGUCAACAUUUGUCUAGGAUGAGAGAAUUAUUGAUGGGAGGUAUAAGCCCCCCUGCCUUGCCUUACUGCCCUCAAGAAAAGCCAGUCAACUCUCCUCAAACCAACACAACACACUGCCUGAGCUUUCCUUAACUCCCUGCUGUCAACAUUUGUCUGGGGUGUGAGAAUUUAUGAUGGGAGGUAUAAGCCCCCCAAUAUACUGCCUCCCCCUGCCUUGCCUUGUUGCCCUGAAGAUAAGCGACUGCCAACCCUUCCUCAAACUAACACAACACACUGCCUGAGCUUGCCUUGCCUCCCUGCUCUCAACAUUUGUCUGGGAUGAGAGAAUUUAUGAGAGGCAUACCCCCCAAUAUACUGCCUCGCUGCCCUCAAGAAAAACAAUUGCCAACCUUCCCUCGAUUCAACAAAACGAUACACUUUCUUAGCCCCACCCUGCCUUGCCUUCCUGCUUUUAGUAAUAGCCAGCAUCACCCUUUCCUUGAACCUAAGACAUCGUGCACUGUUCUCAUGUUGCCUUGCCACUGUCAACAUCAUCUCCUACUCACAGUUAUCAGAGAAUUACAAGUUUAUGUGUAAUACGGGGAAAACCAGAACAAUCGAUCCUCUUAAAUAAUUAACAUGGUAUUAGGGUCUUUUCACAUCACUGGCCAACCCAAAAAGUGAGGGAUGGUACGGCGAAUCACCCAAAGGAGUAAAAACACAAUACACUGCCUUGUCGUACAUUCAGUGACCUCGUGUUGAUUUAGUUUCAGCCACCUUCACCCAUGACCUUGUACCCUUAACCCUCUCUACCUUGCCUUUUUCAGCAUCAUAAACACUCUCCCUCUCACUCUCUGACACAAACACACUUACAUACACAUAGCUACCUCAAGACUAAUUAUUAUUGUGGCCUAACUGGGAUACUCAAGACUCCCAGUUUCAUAAUUUUCAAACACCUUUUCGUCCUCACAAACACAUACACACACGCACACAGCUACCUCAAGACUCAUUACACAGGACAUAUUAGGGUACUCAGACUCCCCACCCCGCCCCACCAUCACGUUCCAUGGGAGUGUGGGGGUGACAGGGAUGAUGGGAUGAUCCAAGAGAAAGAAAAACCCAUGACAUAAACCGGAGUGGAAAUUGAGAGAAGGGGACAAUUGUGAACGUCUGUGGCCUGGGGAUAAACUGAGGGAAAGCAAACCACAACAUUAACUGGACUGGAAAAUGAGAACAGGGAGGCAACUGUGAACAUCUGCCAUGUUAAGAGGGAUAAAGGGAUGCUGCAGUGAGUGACGGCCUGCCCACGACAAGAGGACGAGUGAGAGUGAAGCACCAUCCCCAGCCGUCCCAUCCAUGCAAGUUAGUCGCCUAUAACACCACCAAGGCUCAUGCUUGUUAGAGGGACCAUACAGCCAGCCAGCCAGCCUCCUCCUCUACUGCUCUUUGUAUCAUUCCAUCUUUUCCUUCAACUCCUACUUCUGUGCACCAAGGCAUAGGUUUCUUAUAUGUCCAAGUACACAUUCGUUAAAGAUCUCUAACACGAAAUGAGGGAUGGUACAGUUAGCCAGUCUCCUCCACUACUCUCUGCAUUACUCUGCCUUCUCCUUUAACAUUUACUUCCGUGCACCAAGGAAUUAUGAUACAGGCUUCUUCUAUGCCUGACUACACAUUCGUUUCAUAUCUAACCUCGUAUAUCUAUGCCUCCUAUUUCUGGUUAUCAAGGCAUUAUGGUAUCGGUUUAUGCAUGUGAUAUCAGUCUAUUCAGAUCUCUGGCAAACCUAAAAUAAGGCAUGUUGCAGUCGGUCGGUGAGGAGAGGAAAUGAAGGAUGAGGCGAAGGGAAGGAAGGUGGGACAUGGGAGUCAGUGGUCAAGAAAAAGGAGGGAAAGGAAGGAGAAGAGGAAGAUAGAUCUACCCUAACUUUGUACUGAAUAUAAGGAGCGUUUAGGAAGCACUACCAUCACAGUCAUUAUCUCGGUUUCCAUGACCUCCAAGACUGUAGUGGUUUCUGAUCCCUCGCUUCCUAAAGUUAUGUGUUAAAUUAAGUAGGUGAGAGUAAGUUAGUGUUUAUAAUCGUAAUAUCCAACACCAUUUUUUAUUCUAACAGUACUUUGUGACUCUUCUUUGGGUGUGAGUGUUUACUGGUCCCGUCAUGACCUUCCUGAUUCUUGGCUCAUAAUCUUCCCUUUUGCUCCUACAUCAUUGUCAGGUUCCUGCAAUUUUUUUUUCUUGUUUUUAAUUUGUCAUGUAAAAUCAACCUUUUUUAAUGUUUUCCUAAUCACUGACUACUUCACAUUACUCUUCUUUCUCUUAUUCUGAUUAAUUUUAAUAUCGUAUUCCUUCUUUUCCUGUUCCUCUUUAACAUCCCAAUUCCUAGUACUUUAGCUUCCUAUUUCUACGCCUCGAAUUUCCUUACUACUUCCUGUUCUCAUUCCUUUUUAAUUUCCCUAUUAUUUUACUUUCUUCCUCCUAUUCCUUUUUUUAACUACUCCUAUUCCUUUUCAACAUCACACCUCUUCUUCCUAUUCUACAAUUCCUUUCAACCACAUCUUUCAUUUUCCUUCCUUAAUAUCUUUCCUUGUGCUUUUCUUCACUACCACAACCCUCUGUCAAUUCUUGCUUCCAUGCUCUUCACUUCACCAGUCUUGCUGUUGUCUUUCUACUUUAAUUGUUCACUCAUGGCAGGAUUAAUCGACUUGCUCAAGCCACAAACUCUGUGGGUAUUCCCUUGGCGUCCUCCGGUCAGGACUGACUGGGUUCAGGAUGCUAGUCAUCUGAAUUCCAGGAAGGAUGAGCCAAUAAUAAGGACUUCAAAUCAUGUGUUGACAGCUUUUGUGAGAUUUCAUUAAACAUAUUCACUCACUUCCUUGGGUAGUUUGUCUUACGGGAAACAUGGUGUGUGUGACAGUCGAUAUUUCUCAUGAUAAGCCUGUGAAAUAUUCUUCAGAAGCACAGAAUCUUCAGGUGAUUUUCAUAUCUUGCACAAUAUCUCCGAUGGUAUGUCUAUUCAUCAUUCUUCAGAGGCACAAAAUAUUCAGAUGAUCUUCACUUCUUGCAUAAUAUUUCUGAUGGUAACUCAAUCCAGCAUUCUUCAGAAGCAUAUAAUCUUCAAGUGAUCCUUCUUUCUUUCUUGUGUAAUGUCUUCUCAUCCUUUUCUUUCUUGCAUAACAUUUUCUCAUCAAUCCCCUUGACUGCUGAUUUACAAGAAGACCUCACCAGGCUACAGGAAUGGAACAAAAAGUGGCUGCUACAAUUCACUGAAAAAAAUUAAAGUCCUGCACUGUGGGAGGGGACAUCCAGCACACCAAUACCACAUGGGAAACACUCCACUAUCCACCACAGAGGCAGAGAAAGACCUAGGAGUAUAUGUUUCCAGGCUACCAGUGAAGGGAUAUCCAGCACACCAAUACAUGGGAAACACUCCACUAUCCACCACAGAGGCAGAGAAAGACCUGGGAGUAUAUGUUUCCAGGCUACCAGUGAAGGGAUAUCCAGCACACCAAUACCACAUGGGAAACACUCCACUAUCCACCACAGAGGCAGAGAAAGACCUGGGAGUAUAUGUUUCCAGGCUACCAGUGAAGGGAUAUCCAGCACACCAAUACCACAUGGGAAACACUCCACUAUCCACCACAGAGGCAGAGAAAGACCUGGGAGUAUAUGUUUCCAGGCUACCAGUGAAGGGAUAUCCAGCACACCAAUACCACAUGGGAAACACUCCACUAUCCACCACAGAGGCAGAGAAAGACCUGGGAGUAUAUGUUUCCAGGCUACCAGUGAAAGCCAAAUCCGUGCCAAUCACAGCGGACGGGUUAAGACCAUCCACUCAUGGGACUACUUUGGUUUGCUUCCUAGGAACCAAUUCUUCAUUUCACUCUUCAAUGCAGAACGUACACUGAAUCCAAAACACUGGAAGCUGAAGUACAUCAUCAGGACAGCUUUUCUUGCCUUUUCCCACAUCAAGGUAAUGGUGAAUUUAGCGCAUCAAGACAAAACUUGCAUACCGCCGCAGACCCUUCUUUCCGUCGGAAGGGAAGAGAGGACACGUGGAAAAGGAAAGAGGAAGAAGCAGGAGGUAAGAUGGGGCAUGAAAGGCAGAGAGGAUAAGUAGAGGAAGAGAAAGGGGAAGAAGAAGUGGUCAAUACAUGAGGGGUCUGAGAAGAGAAAGAAUGCAUGAGGGAUCUGAGGUGUGAGGCAGGGAAGAAGAGCAGGAAUUCGAAGCAAACAGGAAUGGGAAGAAGAUCUAAGUAGAGUAAAAAGGAGAAAGAGGAAGUAGAGGCAGUCAAUACAUGAGGGGUCUGAGAAGAAGAGAAAGAAUGCAUGAAGGACCUGAGGUGUGAGGCAGGGAAGAAGAGCAGGAAUUCGGAGCAGACAGGAAUGGGAAGGAAGAGAAAAGGAACGACUUGUAGUAAACUUGUGACUGGGUGAUAAAUAUUGUCUGGAAGAGGAGCAGAACUUUGGGGCAGACAGGAAUGGAAAGGACAAUAGGACAUGAGGAAGGGAAGGAGGGAAGGGAUCGCCAGCUGCUAUUAUGGAACAACUUGUAAUAAACUUGCGACUGGGAGAUAAAUAUUGUCCGGAAGAGGAAGGGGAAGAGGUAGAGGAAGGACGAGAGGACAUGAGGAAAGGAAGGAGGAAAGGAUCACCGAGCGCUAGUACGGAGCAAUUUGUAUUAGGAAACUGGCGACCGAGAUAGAAAAAUUACGUACGCAGCGGAAAAGUGUACUCGGGACACACACACACACACACACACACACACGCGCGCGCUAUGCCAUUGCACAUACAACUGCAACUUCUUCUUAAUCCGUUUAUUUGCGUAUAUUUUUUUUUUCAGCUUUUUUUUUUUUUUUUGGAAAUGCUGCAAAAAAAAUAAAAGCCUGCAAUCAUACAUACAUACGACAGGUAACAAGAAUAACAACAACAACAGCAGCAGCGGCAGUAACAGCGGCAGCGGCAGCAACAACAAUAACAACAACAACAACACAAUGCAUCUAAGGGGAAAGCAGCUUGAAAAAAUAAAAAUAAAAAAAUAAAAAAAAUAAAAGAAAAAUAGGAAGAGAGGCAGAGACAGACAGCUGGACAGACACACAUACAGAGACAGGGAGAGAGAGACAGAGGCAGAAAAUACAGAGAAAUGACAGGAACAGACAGACAAAUAGAUGGUAAGAGAUUUAGAUUUAAGAGAAGGAGAUUUAAAGGAACAAAAAUGACAGAAACAGACAGAUGGAAGGAGAUGACAGAUUCGUUUAGACAGAAAUGGAACAAAUAGGAACAUACAGACAGGAAGAACACAAGAAGCAGACAGAGAGAAAGACAGCAAGAGACAGAUUUAUGGUCACAGAAAAGACAGGUGAGACAGGAACAGAAGACAUAUAAAGACAUACAGACAGGAAGACAAAAAGACAGCAAGAGACAGACAGAGAGGAACAGAAGACAGAUAAAGAAGAGACAGACAGGAAGAUGGGAGAGAAACAGGUAGACAGAGAAAGGAAAAAAAGACAGGAUUUACGAAGACAGAAAAACAGAUGUACAAAGAGGUGACAGACAGAUAUAGAAAGACAGAGACAGCAACAGAGUCAGACAGAUCGAAAAGACAGAGAAGAACAGACAGAAAAAGGCAAAAAAAGACAGGAUUUACAACCAGACAGAAAAACAGAUGUGCAGAGAGGUGUCAGACAGAUAGCAAAGGACAGACAGCAACAGAGAGUCAGGCAGGGAAAGAUAUACAGUCAGAUGGCCCUCUAGAGUCUGUUAAACCUCACUAGAGAGAAGAAAAAAAAAAAAACUAACAUACUCACUCACUUACUCUUUCUUGUCAUGGAAUAAACAGAAUUGAAACAAACACUGGCGUUGAUUAGUCUAAUGGUAUUUACAACACAAAACAAAAAUAGUAACAAUGCAAUGCGUGAAUCACAACAGGAAUGGACAACGAAUGGGAAUGAUGGGUGGGAAUGGGGGGGAGGGAGGGGAGGGGAGGAGAGAACAGAAGGGAGGGAGGCAGGGAGGAAAGGAGGAAGAGGAGGAUAGAGGAAGAGGGAGAGAUAAGAGAUAAAGAUAGAAGAGGGAUAAGAAGGGAGGGAGAGAGAGAAAUGGAAGGAAAUAGGAGGAAAAGGAAAAAAAAGAGGAGAAAGUGAGAGGAGAGAAGAAUAGAUGGUAAGGAAAGGGAAGAGAAGAAGGGAGAAAGAGGAAGGAAAAAGGGAAGAAGGGAGGAAGGAAGGGAGAUAUUGAGAGAAGAAAAAGAGGAGAGGAGGGAGGAAGAGAAGGAUAGAGAGGAGUGGAGGGAAGAGAAGAGGGAGGGAGAGAUGAAGGGAAAAAGAGGGAGGAAAACCAGAAAAGGGGGAUAAAGGGAGAGAAAAAAAGGGAAAGAGGAAAAUGUCACAAUAAAAUGCUCGACUAAGAACAAAAUAUAAGUUAAUAAAUAAAAGAAAAGAAAAUCAUUAGACAAAAAAAUCCUCUACUUACUUGAGAUGCAUUUUCUUUAGAUUUUUGAGGUAGUAGUGGUAAUAGUAGUAGUAGUAGUAGUAGUAGUAGUAGUAGUAGUAGUAGUAGUAGUAGUAGUAGUAGUAGUAGUAGUAGUAGUAGUAGUAGUAGUAAGGCACUCAAUGGAUGCAGGGAGAGAGGAAGGAAGGAGGGAGGGAUGCAUGAAUGAAGGGAAUGAAGGUAAUGGUGAGGAGGAGGAGGAGGAGGAGGGGAAGGAGAAGGAAAGGAAAGGAGAGGGGAGGGGAGGAGGAGGAGAGAGGGAGCCACUUACAUCAUGAAAAAUUAAAAAAGAAAAAAAAAGGAAGCAAGGAAUGGGAAAAUGAGGAGAGGAAAAGAAGGAGAAUGAGGGACAAAGAAGAGGAGGAGAGGAAGAGAAGGAGAAGGAAAGAAGGAGAAAAAGGAACACAGGAAACAGAAAAGAGGAUAAGGAAAGGAAGGAGAAAAGGAGAUUAAGAAAAAGGAGGAAAGAGUAAACUAAGCAAGGAAGGAAGGAAGGAAGGAAGGAAAAUAAGAAAGAAAGAAAGGGUCAAAAAGAGAAGAGAGAGAGAGAGAGAGAGAGAGAGAGAGAGAGAGAGAGAGAGAGAGAGAGAGAGAGAGAGAGAGAGA